rnacentral:rRNA from 1 species
UACAGAGGAGCCAAGCGUUGUCCGGAUUGACUGGGCGUAAAGCGCACGCAGGCGGAUGCGCGCGUGGGGUGUGAAAUCUGGCCGCUUAACGGCCAGGCGCCAUCCCAUACGGCGCGUCUGGAGUGAUGCAGAGGUCGGUGGAAUUGCCGGUGUAGUGGUGAAAUGCGUAGAGAUCGGGAGGAACACCCGUGGCGAAGGCGGCCGACUGGGCCGACUCUGACGCUGAGGCGCGAAGGCGUGGGGAGCGAACGGG